AGAACUUCCAUACCAAGGUUAGCAUGGUUGAUGAUAUCAGCCCAAGUGUUAAUUACAUGACCUUGACUGUCAACUAUAGAUUGUUUGAAAUUGAAACCAUUUAGGUAGUAGUACCAUAGCUUU